AAUAAAUAAAAACGUGGAAAGAAAGAAAAAAAGAAAAGAAAAGAAACAGUGCCUUCAAAACGGCCAAGCUUUGAGAUAAGAAUUUAAUGAAUCUGUUGAAUUGACCUUAAACAGAAGAUUGGCAUUAGCAAAAAUUUAUAGAGAUCACAUAGUGUGUACCAAAACCUGGGCAUGAAAUUAGUAAUUCAAGAAUGAAUUGUCAGAUGUAGUUCUCCCUUUGGAGAGCGGGUAGUCCUAACAUACAAGUGCUUUAAGAAAUAUUUAUAAAGUGCUAGGGGACCACAGCCUACUCUGGGCUUGAGGGCGAGUGGUUCAGGAAAAGGUACUGAAAAAGAAGACAUUUGAGCCAAAGACUAGAGAAUGAGGAGCUUAACAGUAAGUAGAGGUCAGUGGAAGAAGAGAAGACCUUUGGGGCGCAGAAGACCGUGUGAGCAAAGGCACAGCAACCGGAAACACUGGUCGCCUUUUGUGAGAACCGGGGACCCAGUGGGGGAGGGAAAGAGGUAGGCUUUUCUCCAAGAAGGUCUUAUAUGUUUUGCAUUGUGAAAAUUUAAAGUGUUAAAAUUUUCUCUAGCAUGUGAAAUGUUCUGGAAAUGGUAAAAAUUUUGUCUGGAGUGUAGAGAAGAAGCUAAAGAUGUUGGCCGAGGCCAGGUAAUGAGAAGCUUCGUGAGCUACAUUCAGAAGCUUGGACUGUAGUGAGAAGGCAGUGACAGUCAGGAGCUACAGUGAAGUGACCAGCUCCGGCGAGGCUUUAACUGAGGAAAAGAGAGAGGGGGGCCUGGGAGCAACACGACGGGCUUGGGGUGCACUGCAGAGAGAUGGAGAAGUCAGGCAGAGGCAAGUUAUUUGGAAGGCAGGUUUCAUUGAUAGCCUCAGCGAUCCUAGAACCUCUCCCUUUCUUCCUCUGUGUCUGACUGCUUUUAAAGUAACCACAAGAAUUAUUGAGCACUUCAGAAUAGAUACUCUUUGGCUGCACAAAGAAAUAACAAGCAGGAAAUAAGGCAGCAUAGAGAGUAUCCACUCUCUAGACCCAAGUCUAGAAAUACAGGCCUGAGAGCUGUUCUAAAUCUGUAAAGGAUCUCCUUUACAACCUCAUCUACCCUUGCGUCCAUCAGAAAACUGCCAGUCUGCUUGUCACUUUAUUUCUCCUAGCUUUAAACAGUGGGGCAUAGCCCCAGAGCCCUCUCCACAGGUAAUUUGUACCCAAGCAACGUUAUUCUCCCAGGCCUCCAAAAAAUUUCUCUUCCGCCUCAAAAAGAAGCAAGAUUCGGUUACGAUAACUGACCUUCUGGCUUUAACUGUUUGGAAAGGAUGCUAUCUUAGACAAUUAAGUUUUGAAAGCUUCAAAUACAGUCAGCUUCAGAAUACAGUCGAAGCCUCUGAAUUCAAAACGUGAUAACAGUAUUCUCUUGGGAAGGUGACAUAUGACUGAAGCGUUAAGUAGGCGCACUGGUGGCUUUCCCAUAAUGUAAUGUUUCACACCAUGCUCGAGGGAUGGUUUCGAUGUGCUAAGAGUCUCUUUCCCCUUUUUAUUUAACACCGUGUGUUGUUUUCAUGUCCUGGGUAUGCCACGAGUAGCCUGGCUUUUAGUGUUAAGCAAAAUACAAGAAAAAUUUAUCAUAGAAUUCAUAGUGUAACUCUGUUUUUGCAGCAAAUUCCAGAUGUGUCUCCAACAGGAAAAUAUACAACUCUCUUGCCUUUGAUGAUUAUACUUACCAUUUCAGGCAUCAAAGAGAUUGUAGAAGAUUAUAAACGACAUAUGGCAGACAGAUUAAUCAACACAAAGAACACAAUAGUGUUCAGAGAGAAUGAAUGGAAAGUGAUUAUGUGGAAAGAGGU